CCUGCGGGAAGAGAUGGCGCGAACACGGGUUACAGGGCAGAAAGGCCGGCCAGGCGCCCCGACUCCGCCCCCCGACUACCCAACGGGACAAAGAAAGCCAGCGCGUGCGCAGAGGGCCAGAGCCUUCUAGCUUGUGGGUCCACCAUCUGCAACACGUGGUUUCCAUCUCGUGGGGGAAGAGGACACCCCAAUGCCCGACACAGCUCUCUUCCAGUCCCAAGAAGGGAGAGGUUGAAAGGGAGGCCAUCCUCUUUGCCUAAAAAAGGCCAUAACUCAGAUGCUGCACACAUCCCAUUGGCCAGAACCCAUUCACAUGGUAAGACCUAGUUGCAAGGGAGCCUGGGAAAUGUGGUCUUUAGCUGGGCAGCCAUAUGUCCACUGAAAACUUUCCUAUCGUACAUGAUUGAAGGGACAUCUAGCAGUGUUUGCCACACAAAAGUUUGAAACCAAGCAAACAGAGGACUGAAGCCAAUGUAGUGAUACCUGAAUGAUGUGUAAAGAGACUUGGAAUAGAAAACGCAUUUGAUUGACAUCUAGUCCCUCUCAUUUGCCCACAGUGAGAAUUAUUCGUGCAAACCCAAUGUAUCCAUCUCAAUCUUCUAGAACCUGGCAGAAUUGAACUUCCUGGACUCUCUGUGACUCACCAAGGUCAUGUGACUAGUUGUUGCCAAUGAAUUUCACGAGGUUAUGUAUGUU